rnacentral:rRNA from 1 species
GUGAGGAAUAUUGCGCAAUGGAGGCAACUCUGACGCAGCCAUGCCGCGUGCAGGAAGAAGGCGCUACGCGUUGUAAACUGCUUUUAACCGGGAAGAAACCCCAGGACGUGUCCUGGGUUGACGGUACCGGAGGAAUAAGCACCGGCUAACUUCGUGCCAGCAGCCGCGGUAAUACGAAGGGUGCAAGCGUUAUCCGGAUUCAUUGGGUUUAAAGGGUGCGUAGGCGGAGCGUUAGGUCAGUGGUGAAAUCCUGCAGCUUAACUGUAGACUUGCCAUUGAUACUGGCGCUCUUGAGUGCGCUUGAAGUGGGCGGAAUGUGCCGUGUAGCGGUGAAAUGCUUAGAUAUGGCACAGAACACCAAUUGCGAAGGCAGCUCACUAAGGCGAUACUGACGCUGAGGCACGAAAGCGUGGGGAUCGAACAGGAUUAGAUACCCGAGUAGUCC